AUUGAACGCUGGCGGCAUGCCUUACACAUGCAAGUCGAACGGUAACAGGUCUUCGGAUGCUGACGAGUGGCGAACGGGUGAGUAAUACAUCGGAACGUGCCUAGUAGUGGGGGAUAACUACUCGAAAGAGUGGCUAAUACCGCAUGAGAUCUACGGAUGAAAGCAGGGGAUCGCAAGACCUUGUGCUACUAGAGCGGCCGAUGGCAGAUUAGGUAGUUGGUGGGAUAAAAGCUUACCAAGCCGACGAUCUGUAGCUGGUCUGAGAGGACGAUCAGCCACACUGGGACUGAGGCACGGCCCAGACUCCUACGGGAGGCAGCAGUGGGGAAUUUUGGACAAUGGGCGCAAGCCUGAUCCAGCAAUGCCGCGUGCAGGAUGAAGGCCUUCGGGUUGUAAACUGCUUUUGUACGGAACGAAAAGCCCCGGGUUAAUACCCUGGGGUCAUGACGGUACCGUAAGAAUAAGCACCGGCUAACUCCGAGCCAGCAGCCGCCGUAA
rnacentral:rRNA from 1 species